rnacentral:misc_RNA from 1 species
GUAGGUGAACCUGCGGAAGGAUCAUUAGUGAAAAACAGGGUGUCUUCGGACCCCAACCUCUCACAUCCACACACACCUGUGCACCUGUUGGCGAUUGAGACUCUCGAGUCUUGAUUGUCCUUUUUAAUCACACACUUUUUGUCCUUUGGAUGUAAUCUUCUAUCGCUGUAAUGGCGUCGAAACUUAAUAAAACUUUUAACAACGGAUCUCUUGGCUCUC